rnacentral:rRNA from 1 species
UACGUAGGGUGCGAGCGUUAUUCGGAAUUACUGGGCGUAAAGCGCGUGUAGGCGGCAGGGCAAGUCUGGUGUGAAAGCCCGGGGCUCAACCCCGGAAGUGCAUUGGAAACUGCUCUGCUUGAGUACCGGAGAGGAAGGGGGAAUUCCCGGUGUAGCGGUGAAAUGCGUAGAUAUCGGGAGGAAUACCAGUGGCGAAGGCGCCCUUCUGGACGGUUACUGACGCUGAGGCUCGAAAGCGUGGGUAGCAAACAGG